GACGAACGCUGGCGGCGUGCCUAAUACAUGCAAGUCGAGCGCUGAAGGUUGGUACUUGUACCAACUGGAUGAGCAGAGAACGGGUGAGUAACGCGUGGGGAAUCUGCCUGUCAGCGGGGGAAAACAUUGGGAAACGAAUGCUAAUACCGCAUAAAAACUUUAAACACAAGUUGUAAGUUUGAAAGAUGCAAUUGCAUCAUGCAAAGAUGAUCCCGCGUUGUAUUAGCUAGUUGGUGAGGUAAAGGCUCACCAAGGCGAGGAAACAUAGCCGACCUGAGAGGGUGAGCGGCCACCUUGGGACUGUGACACGCCCCAUACUCCUACGGGUGGCAGCAGUAGGGAAACUUCGGCAAUGGACGGAAGUCUGACCGAGCAACGCCGCGGGAGUGAAGAAGGUUGUCGGGUCGUAAAACUCUGUUUGUGGGGAAGAACGUUGGUGAGAGUGGAACGCUCAGCGAGUGACGGUAACGACCCAGAAAGCGACGGCUAACUACGUG
rnacentral:rRNA from 1 species